UGCCUGUUAAAACAUUUCCCACAUUCAGCACAUGAGAAAGGUUUCUCUCCUGUGUGAGUUAUCUGAUGUUUAACAAGAUCUGAGUGCUGGCUAAAACAUUUCCCACAUGCAGAACAUGUGAAAGGUUUCUCUCCUGUGUGAGAUCUCUGGUGUGUAACAAGGUGUGCAUGGCUGUUAAAACAUUUCCCACAUUCAGCACAUGAGAAAGGUUUCUCUAGUGUGUGUUUUCUCUGGUGUGCAACUAGAGCCGAGUUAUGGCUAAACCAUUUCCCACAUGCAGAACAUGAGAAAGGUUUUUCUCCUGAGUGAGCACUCUGAUGUGUAGUAAGACUUGAGUACUGGCUAAAACAUUUUCCACAUUCAGAACAUGAGAAAGGUUUCUCUCCUGUGUGAGUUCUCUGGUGUGCAACUAGAGAUGCCUUAAGAGUAAAACAUUUCCCACAUUCAGAACAUGAGAAAGGUUUCUCUCCUGAGUGAGUUCUCCAAUGUGUAACUAGAGUUGAAUGCCUAUUAAAACAUCUUCCACAUUCAGCACAUGAGAAAGGUUUCUCUCCUGUGUGAAUUAUCUCAUGUAUUUUUAGACUUGAGGACAGGCUAAAACAUUUUCCACAUUCAAAACAUGAGAAAGGUUUCUCUCCUGUGUGGGAUCUCUGGUGUACAAGAAGGUGUGCAUGGCUGUUUACACAUUUUCCACAUUCAGAACAUGAGAAAGGUUUCUCUCCUGUAUGAUUUCUCUGGUGUGCAACUAGAGAAGACUUAAGGCUAAAACAUUUCCCACAUUCAGAACAUGAGAAAGGUUUCUCUCCUGUGUGUAUUCUCUCAUGUGUUCUUAGACUUGAGGACAGGCUAAAACAUUUUCCACAUUCAAAACAUGAGAACGGUUUCUCUCCUGUGUGACUUCUCUGAUGUAUUACAAUUUGUGACUGCCAGCGAAAACAUUUUCCACAUUCAGAACACGAGAAAGGUUUUGGGUUUAUGUUUACUAUCUCCUUUGUAGACAUACAGGAUUCUGGAAGAUUGCUUGAGUUUGGAGAGUUGGAAUCCUUGGUCUUUUUAUUAAAAGAUUUCUUCAUAAUCUUGCUUAGUAUAUUUCUGUUGGUGUCCUGUCCUUUAGAAAAACGUCUACUGCUGGAAAUAUC